CACAAAUGUCACACAGAGCAAUCAAAUUGUCAUUCUCAUAAAAUAUUCUAAAAUGUGCAAAAGUUUUGAAACGUGGACAUGGCGUAUGACUUGCCUGGCUACAUCGUGCGGUUAUAUUUUAAUUUCGUUUUUAUUUGGGCCGGUGCAUACAGUGUACUACUUAACAGGUAAAACCCCGGAUCUAGAAGAAUUAUUCGAGACAGAGAAGGACUACGCGUUAUUCCUUCUGUUCAUAAUGAUUACGAUGUGGUAUCUCUUCUUCGCCUACAUUACUUUGUUAAUAGAUUGGCUCUGAUGUACGUGUUUUUUUAUUUAUUUUUGAUGGCAUCGCGUGUUAUUCUUCAAUUCCUCUUUUGAUAAUUGUAAAACGAUAUAUACGACAA